rnacentral:rRNA from 1 species
UACGUAGGGUGCAAGCAUCAAUCGGAUUUAUUGGGCGUAAAGGGCGCGUAGGCGGAGAUGUAAGUCAGAUGUGAAAUCCCGGAGCUCAACUCCGGAACAGCAUUUGAAACUGCAUCCCUAGAGGGUAGGCGGAGAAAACGGAAUUCCACAAGUAGCGGUGAAAUGCGUAGAUAUGUGGAAGAACACCAGUGGCGAAGGCGGUUUUCUAGCUUAUACCUGACGCUGAUGCGCGAAAGCAAGGGGAGCAAACAGG